GACGUAGGGGGCAAGCGUUGUCCGGAAUUACUGGGCGUAAAGGGCGCGCAGGCGGUCCUUCAAGUCAGAUGUGAAAGCCCCGGGCUCAACCUGGGAACUGCAUUUGAGACUGGAGGACUUGAGGACGGGAGAGGAGAGUGGAAUUCCCAGUGUAGAGGUGAAAUUCGUAGAUAUUGGGAAGAACACCGAUGGCGAAGGCAGCUCUCUGGACCGUUACUGACGCUGAGGCGCGAAAGCGUGGGGAGCAAACAGG
rnacentral:rRNA from 1 species